rnacentral:rRNA from 1 species
UACGGGGGGGGGCAAGCGUUGUUCGGAAUUACUGGGCGUAAAGGGCUCGUAGGCGGCCAACUAAGUCCGACGUGAAAUCCCAAGGCUUAACCUUGGAACUGCGUCGGAUACUGGAUGGCUUGAAUUCGGGAGAGGGAUGCAGAAUUCCAGGUGUAGCGGUGAAAUGCGUAGAUAUCUGGAGGAAUACCGGUGGCGAAGGCGGCAUCCUGGACCGACAUUGACGCUGAUGGGCGAAAGCUAGGGGAGCAAACGGGG